rnacentral:rRNA from 1 species
CAGGCCUAACACAUGCAAGUCGAGCGGGCGUAGCAAUACGUCAGCGGCAGACGGGUGAGUAACGCGUGGGAACGUACCUUUUGGUUCGGAACAACACAGGGAAACUUGUGCUAAUACCGGAUAAGCCCUUACGGGGAAAGAUUUAUCGCCGAAAGAUCGGCCCGCGUCUGAUUAGCUAGUUGGUGAGGUAAUGGCUCACCAAGGCGACGAUCAGUAGCUGGUCUGAGAGGAUGAUCAGCCACAUUGGGACUGAGACACGGCCCAAACUCCUACGGGAGGCAGCAGUGGGGAAUAUUGGACAAUGGGGGCAACCCUGAUCCAGCCAUGCCGCGUGAGUGAUGAAGGCCCUAGGGUUGUAAAGCUCUUUUGUGCGGGAAGAUAAUGACGGUACCGCAAGAAUAAGCCCCGGCUAACUUCGUGCCAGCAGCCGCGG